ACAGCAGUAGCCGCGGUAAUACGUAGGUGGCAAGCGUUGUCCGGAAUUAUUGGGCGUAAAGCGCGCGCAGGCGGAUCAGUCAGUCUGUCUUAAAAGUUCGGGGCUUAACCCCGUGAUGGGAUGGAAACUGCUGAUCUAGAGUAUCGGAGAGGAAAGUGGAAUUCCUAGUGUAGCGGUGAAAUGCGUAGAUAUUAGGAAGAACACCAGUGGCGAAGGCGACUUUCUGGACGAAAACUGACGCUGAGGCGCGAAAGCCAGGGGAGCGAACGGGAUUAGAGACCCCGGUAGUCCCUGUCUCUUAUACA
rnacentral:rRNA from 1 species